GCUUCCGGAAAACAGCUCGGGAAAACACCUUGUUCAGGCUGCCGCUUGGAGGACUUGCUAGUCUUAAAAAGACCUCUGUUAGUGAAGGCAGGUGAAAUGGAUUUGACUCAUUACCCACGGUUUCAACAACUUCUGCUGCUGAAAAUGGCUAAGUAAAAGGAGUUUGGCGUGAGAGAGAAAGAUUAUACUCUCCUGAAAUGAAAGUUUGGCAUUUCCAUUUCCGGACUUCAUCACUGCAGUGAUAAAUAGAUCCCCUUAAUAAAUACAGAGUCAGAAAUGAAGAAGAGGCAGGAUUCCCACUUGCUUGAGAGAGAAGUUGUUCUAUAUCAAGCUAUACCGAAUUCCUGUUGCCUGUGCUGAGAGGAUUCUCUCCAGGCCAACAACACAACCUGACUGAACAUUAGGUGUGCUUACGAGGUAUGGUGUCAUUACUGAGGAAUAGUAAGACAGAAGGAGG